UGAUACAUUUGUUCCUUAAAGUGUAUUUUUGAUAAGAAAAACCUUUUGUUUUUCCUUCAUUUAAUUUUUUGUUUUUUUCUUGGUAGAGACAGAGUCUUGCCAUGCUGUCCAGGCUGGAGUGCAGUGGUGUGAUCUCGGCUCACUGCAACCUCCACCUCCCGGGCUCCAGCAAUCCUCCCACCUCAGCCUCCCUAGGAGCUGAGACUACAGGUGUGAGCCGCCAUGCCUGGCUAAUUUUUAGAGACAGGGUUUCACCAUCUUGCCCAGGCUGGUCUCAAACUCCUGGGCUCAAGGAGUCCUCCUGCCUCAGCCUCCCAGAAUAUUGGGAUUAUAGGUGUGAGCCACUGCCAGAAAAACUUUUCUUAAGAUAAGGCAGGGUUUACAUUAUAUUUAGAUUUUUUUUUAAUGAUGUCUUUUUUGGCAGUGCACAGCCAGAGAACAACACAUCACACACAGGAAACAGUUGUGCUCAUGUGAUGGGGGCCUCAGCACUAGGAAGGAGUGGACUAUUGGCGCAUGUAGCAGCUUGAAUAAAUCUGAAAGUCACUACACUGCGUAAGAGAAGCCAAAUAAAAAAGUUCAUGCUGUGUACAGAGGGUGUUGAGAAUGCCUCCUACGUGACGGAAAGCAGAUCCGUGGUUCCCUGCAGACCGGCAGGAGCAGAUUCCAAAGGCACAGGAAGAAGCUUGCAGGUUGCCUGUUCACUCUGGCUAGUCAUAUGCAGAAAACUGAAACUAGACCCCUUCCUGACACCUUAUAUAAAAAUUAACUCAAGAUGGAUUAAAGAUUUAAACGUAAGACCCAAAACCAGA
rnacentral:lncRNA from 1 species